rnacentral:rRNA from 1 species
ACUGCUCAGUAACACGUGGACAACCUGCCCUGAGGACUGGAAUAAUCCCGGGAAACUGGGGGUAAUUCCAGAUAUGUCAGAACUCCUGGAAUGGGUUCUGGCAGAAAGGCUCCGGCGCCUCAGGAUGGGUCUGCGGCCUAUCAGGGUAGUAGUGGGUGUAACGUACCUACUAGCCUACGACGGGUACGGGUUGUGAGAGCAAGAGCCCGGAGAUGGAUUCUGAGACAUGAAUCCAGGCCCUACGGGGUGCAGCAGGCGCGAAAACUUUACAAUGCGGGCAACCGCGAUAAGGGGACCUCGAGUGCUGGGUUACAAACCUGGCUGUUGGGCUGCCUAAAAAGCAGUCUAUAGCAAGGGCCGGGCAAGACCGGUGCCAGCCGCCGCGGUAACACCGGCGGCUCGAGUGGUAACCGCUAUUAUUGGGUCUAAAGGGUCUGUAGCCGGCCGACUAAGUCUCUUGGGAAAUCUGGCAUCUCAAGUGUCAGGCUGCCAGGGGAUACUGGUCGGCUUGGGACCGGGAGAGGUGAGAGGUACCUCGGGGGUAGGGGUGAAACCUUGUAAUCCUCGAGGGACCACCAGUGGCGAAGGCGUCUCACCAGAACGGAUCCGACGGCAAGGGACGAAAGCUAGGGGCACGAACCGGAUUAGAUACCCGGGUAGUCCUAGCCGUAAACGAUACUCGCUAGGUGUCGGCCACGGUGCGACCGUGGUCGGUGCCGUAGGGAAGCCGUGAAGCGAGCCACCUGGGAAGUACGGCCGCAAGGCUGAAACUUAAAGGAAUUGGCGGGGGAGCAC